GCCGAGGUGGUGAAAUUGGUAGACACGCUAGUCUUAGGAACUAGUGCCUAUGGCGUGCGAGUUCGAGUCUCGCCCUCGGCACCA
rnacentral:tRNA from 1 species